rnacentral:rRNA from 1 species
UACGUAGGGGGCAAGCGUUGUCCGGAUUUAUUGGGCGUAAAGAGCGUGUAGGCGGCCAUGUAGGUCCGUUGUGAAAACUCGAGGCUCAACCUCGAGACGUCGGCGGAAACCAUCUGGCUAGAGUCCGGAAGAGGAGAGUGGAAUUCCUGGUGUAGCGGUGAAAUGCGCAGAUAGUCAGGAAGAACACCCGUGGCUAAGGCGGCUCUCUAGUACGGUACUGACGCUGAGACGCGAAAGCGUGGGAGCGAACAGG